AUUGAACGCUGGCGGCAUGCUUUACACGUGCAAGUCGAACGGCAGCGCGGGCUUCGGCCUGGCGGCGAGUGGCGAACGGGUGAGUAAUACAUCGGAACGUGCCCAGUAGUGGGGGAUAGCUCGGCGAAAGCCGGAUUAAUACCGCAUACGACCUGAGGGUGAAAGCGGGGGAUCUUCGGACCUCGCGCUAAUGGAGCGGCCGAUGGCAGAUUAGCUAGUUGGUGGGGUAAAGGCCUACCAAGGCGACGAUCUGUAGCUGGUCUGAGAGGACGACCAGCCACACUGGGACUGAGACACGGCCCAGACUCCUACGGGAGGCAGCAGUGGGGAAUUUUGGACAAUGGGCGAAAGCCUGAUCCAGCAAUGCCGCGUGUGUGAUGAAGGCCUUCGGGUUGUAAAGCACUUUUGGCGGGAACGAAAAGGACUGUGCCAAUACCACGGUUCGAUGACGGUACCCGCAGAAUAAGCACCGGCUAACUACGUG
rnacentral:rRNA from 1 species